ensembl:lncRNA
GUGAGGAGCAAUAAACUGAAUUUGACAUAAAAGUAUAUGGGAUAAGAGUCACGGACUGUAACUUUAAGGGAGAUAGAGCAAUAAUCAAAGAAUCCAUUUCUUACAGAUUGUGAUGGUAUUACACAGUCGCAAUGAAAACAUACAAGGCAUGUUUUAAUGCAAUAAAUUUCGGCAAUCGAUUGAGUCUACAAAGCAACAAGACACAGAGAAAAUAUUGACAGAGGAGAGAACUAAGGAGGGCUACACCACAAAUCCGCAGAGCGUAAAUAAACCUGAGCGUACUAAACAGAGUCCCCUGGAAGUUAAUGGCAGCUUUGUGUGGCCGAGCAGUUUUAUGAUCUUAAUUCUCUCGCAUACUUUGCCAACAUAAAUAUGGCGCUUCUCGGCGGGUAGCUCCGCCGAGUGCAGUUGUGGGGCUGGGCUGGAACUGCAACAAGUUCAAAUACACAACUUUUACUGCGCCUCAGGAGGGGUUUUCUCAGCGUUGCUUUUGCUCUCUACCCUUCGGUUUGGGGAGCGGUCAACAAGAUAGUCUUCGCGUCAGCCCAGGCUGAUUUAUGACUAGGGACAAGCCCAGCACAGAAAAAGAGGAAAUUCUUAAAAGAGAAAAAGACGUCUCCCUACGAACCACUUCCCACCGCUUAAGCUCUACAGGCCUCUGAGAAACAACGUGAAGAACCGGAGUCAACUUCUGAUAAUGGAAGCACAGUUGUGGAAGUACUGCUGUCAUUGAUGACAAACUGCAUCUCAAUCCCACUGGUAGCUGAUUGGAUUUCCUGGAGAGUCAGACCGAGAGCGGCACAUGCAGAGCAUAUAAACAAUCUUAGACCAGAUCGAAGGGAGAUUAAGUGUGAGGAAACACUAUUUUUUUGUGAACACAUUUAUCUUAGUGUGGUGAAAACACAUGAAAAGCAUAAGAAAAACCAUAGCCCACAUUUCAGAGCAAAAUAUAUUGUAAAUUGUUUUUUUUGUGCUGUAGUGAAACUUGUCCUGACCCUGUAAAAAGGUAAACUUCUUCAGAUGUCUACAGUUGUAAACAAAGUUCACUUAAAUAGGCUAGUCAUAAACUACAACAUGGUGUUGAAAGUAAUCCAUUAUUUUGUUAAAUCAUUUUUAGAUGUAUCUGAGAAGAAAGAAACGGUAUUAAACAUUGAUGACCUAUGGUUUAACUGUUUUGAUGUCAUUUUCCCACAAGAAUGUGAUAUGAUCUGCAUAAAUCAAAAGGACCAUCACUCCUGUCCUCUGCAACAGAUUGCCCUAAUCGACUCAAACAUCAUGUCUCACAUUGUACCUUUACAGAGUCUGGACUUUUGAUGGUCCAAAUCAAAUUUGAUUUUGACACAGUAAUCCAAAUUGCAUGUCAAUGGACUUAUAUAAUUGUAUAAAUAUAUAAAAAUGCAGAUAGUGUAACCUGGGAGGCGUACAUAAUCUCAUUCCCACAGCCCCCACACCAGGGUUCCAGUGUGUUGGCGGAGGCCUAGUCUCCAUCUUUUAUUUGAUUUAGAGAACUCUCUCCUCUCCUCUCCUCUCCUCUCCUCUUCUCUCCUCUCCUCUCAUGUCAUGUUCUCUCACACUCUUCCCUUGGUUAUUAAAUGGCCCAGUAUGGGAUGUCUGUGUUAUUGCACUUCCAACAUUGACUGAAAACACCGCUUGGCAUUUAAGACAACAUGAUUGUUGUGAUUGUUUUAUGAAAAUAUAUUGAAGUUAAUAAUGUCUCUGUCAUUUGCGAGAACAGUAUCUGUGGCAAGUCGAUGAUGUCAAAUGUAUAUAAUGCAGAUACUGUAAAUAUAUAUUCUUCAUGGUAAAAAUAAUGACAUUGGAGAUGAUGUUACGAACACACAGGUAUUAUAAACAUCCUUUACUAUGAAGUCAUGCUGAAUGGGACAAUACUUCUACUCACUUGAAACAACCACAAGUUAGUCAUUAAACAUUGCAAGUGUAUCCUAUAAAUCUCUGUUUGGACAACUGACACAACGAUACUAAUGAGAUCUAUAGCCCCCUGAACGUAGCCAUCUAGCAUGUUUGGUUUAGCGCACAGAUUGAGCCAAUGAAUGAUAUCAUUUUCAUAUUAUUUAUGGCUUGGAGACUUCAUAACACAAAGGUAUGCCAUUUUGGCUCUGUGACUGAGGCGCCAUGUGCUGGCAUCUGGGUUGCCGUAAAUAGACCUGCUGAUAAUCUUGACUUUUAUUCUAAUAUUGUUGACAUUGCCUUUACUCCCUGACACUGACAUCAUUAUUUGACACGAUUCCUUUUAAAUGAUUAGAUUUUUGUUUUUCAAAAGAACAUAAAUGUCAUAUUAAUGUAAAAUCACAACAUCUCUCUGGCUGUUUAUACAAGGAAGCCAUUGAUGUGCAUUAGCUACCAACCACCAUUAACAGUCCAGGGGAAUACGCACUCAGAACCCCUCAGUAUGUUUAGUGGAGCAGUCGGUGUAGCGAGGCACAGCUAUAGGAAUUACAUUUCAUAACUUUGGAACAAAACAACAAAAAUGUAGCAAAGAAAUAUAACACCCUGCUAUAUGUAACACCUUGCUGUAGGACAAGCACAUCUUCUGUUUGACUUGCCUUAGGACCUGAUGGAAAAAAAAAUAGUUUGUGGAAGGAGUAAAGGAAGCUUUAGUUUCCAUUUCAAAUGUGAAAACAGCCUACACUCACUAGAAUGAAACAUCCCAGAUGCAUCUUACAACAAUGAUAUUUCAGUCUAAUUGUAUGGUUAUCAUUAAAGGGUAUUGCCAACAAUUUUACAAAAUUAUACUUAUACAAUUGUACAAUUACACUGCCUAAAAAACAUUUUAGUGGACAGCAUGCAUGUUAAUCCUGGCAUCAAGUAUAAAAAAACGGCAGCAGCAGAAGCCUCAUGUUCAGGUAUGUACAAGCCCUUGGAAGCCAUUUUACAUUCUGUUAUUGUCUAAAAUGUUGUCCCAUAAGUUAGCCUAUGAUUCACUGACUGUUUUUAUGAUAACAUUUUGUUAUCUUCCAUUUAUCCUUCAUGACUAAAGACUACCUCUUCCCAAGGUAUACAGAAACUUAACAGGAGGUUAUUUGCACAAAAUUAGAAAUAAAUCACAAUAAAACACAGGACACAGCAGUAUUGCACAACAACCCAUAAGUAAUAAUUUAACAUAUUUGUGAACAUUUUAUACCAUUAAAGUAUGUGAAAUUAUUAAUAGAGGCCUUCCACCAUUGCAAUUGUCAACAAUAGCUUUCAGAAUUCCAACUCAGAAAUGAUGCCGUUAUUGUAAACCUGCCUUUCCUUCAAACAAUGGAACGCAUAACAACCAGGAGAACCCAAAACAUCAAGAGUUCAUCAUUGAAAUGCAUGAUAGCCGUCGAUGUAAAAAACAAAACAAAAACAAAUAGCUGUUGCCUUGAUCCAUGUGUUCACUGGUCUCCUUACCUGCCAUUGCAGCAAGGGUGAGAGCCCCCCCCCACCCCCACCCUCCAGUUCUGCAAUGGCACACAAGCGUUUUUUUUAAUUUAUUUAUUUAUUUAUACAUUGUUGCCAGAGACAGCUGCAGGAUUGUGUUGGCUGUGAUGUGCGCUGGAACUUAUCAACAGGACUGUCUUUGAUGAAUGGAGGUUGCACUUAGCAUUAUAUCAACAUAUGAUUGAGUGGGGAUGUGUUGGUUGUGGAGUUCUGGCCGAUAAAAAAAAAUGUUGAACGGUUCCAAUGAGAGUUCUGAGCACAGUCACAUGACCCCCGAUGUCCUUCAGAGAUUAUGAAAGGAAGCUUGGCUUUCUAGACAGCAAGUUGGACAGGUUCCUAGACUGAAUUCCUGGCAUUGGCCUUGGUCAGCCCAGAGCAUGUUCCCAAGUUACAAAAAAAAGCAAAGAAAUAAAUAAUACCUUUCAAAUAUACAUGUGGUUGCCUGGGUUGUGGAUCCUCCAGGCUGUUCUUCCUGCCGUAUCUGAAUGUAGUGCUGUCUGCAAAUCAACAUUGUAAUGGACCCCAAUCAAAGAGCAAGGGCUCCUGUUGUCAUACUCAGACUCCAGAUUUCAUUUUCAUUUCACAGCAGAUGUUGAUUGAAAUUCGUACUCAGUGGCCUGGAAAUGUUUUGGAAGAAACUUGAUUGUAGAUGUGUCUCUAUGGGGGCUGUUUUCUUGAACAUUAUUUGUCUUAAAGAAAGAAAUGCCCAAUGCACAGUGAACAUCACAAACACUUGCAGGUUUAGUGUAAGCUCAGAGUUGAGCCUGCUACUGUUUUAUGUCAGGUGUGCAAAUGAACAGCAAAUGAACAACCUAGACACUGUUUAAAAGUAUUACAUUUUGCAUGGAAUAUUCAGUGUCAAAUGGGGCCUCUGUGAGACCGAAAUAUGGUCGACUUUGCCAGUGCAGGUGUUAAAAACAAUUAGUAAUUAAUUGGAGCAAAGAAAAGAAACAUAAUAAAUGGCAACCACCUGGACCAAGCAAAUGCAUUUGGGCUGUUAAUUAUCAAUCAUGCUAGGGCGUGUUGAAAUUUCAGACACUGUUCUCACCCAAAUAGAGAAAUAUUCAGGAAAUGAACCAUACCUGGUGUGUUUUUCAUGUACUGAGGCAAAACAACACACUCUGUGUACCCUGCGCAGGAUGAUUGUGGAACACAAGGGAUGCUGGAAUCAAUAUGCAGUAUUAAACAAAAAACGACUUCAAGGUUUUGGCAAUAGAAAGGUAGGAACAUCUAGAAGAUGACAGAAGACAUGGCUUCUACUGAUAUUCCUUGCUGGUAAUUUGUUGUGGCAUAUAGAGCUGAAUGACAACACUCAAGAUGGCAAAUAUCCUGCAGCUGGCUUGCAGAAAUAACAGUUUCUCCUUUCUUUCUCUAUCAGCAUAAUGACAAUGUAAAUGGCCAUUCUGCUGAAACAGUAGAAUGAGGACCGGAGGGGGGUUUCAACAGAGUAUAUGGAUUCUUUGAAAAUACGGUUUGUAAUUUUAAACCAAAAGACAGUGAAAUACAACAUGGCUGGAUCUUAUGCCUCCCUGGUCAUGAACUCUGUAGCAAUGCUAAAAGCAAUGUGAUAUGAACAAGGCAUCUGAUGGAAGAACGUUUACAUAUCUUUAAAAUCAGCUACAGUGCAUUAUGGCAUAUAACAUGUGCAUUGGAACAGAUUGUCAACAUUUUAUGACUGUAAUUUCUGAUUAGGAGUUCCAUUUCAUCUCAAAUGUAUGAGAAAAUUUAGAUUAAAUUAGAUUUCAUAAUCAAAUGUUGACAAUUUGAUGGUCAAACACUUUAACAAAUUUUAACAAAUAUAUCUUAACAUUAUUAGUCUUAACAGUCUACUGAUGUUAACAGUCUUAACGUUCCCUUACAGAACAUGUAUCAUGAUUUCAGUUAUUCCAAAGGUAAAGUAACCAUAUCAAAGCUACAAAGUUAUUUCAGUGCUUAUGGUUCCAUUCCAACUUGCUCGCCCCCAAAUUGUGAUCAGUGCAGAAAUGUAUCAGUGUGGAUGCUACAGUGUGGGACAAUUUAUCUUGGACAAUAAAGCAACAAAAAACAUCUGAAACCAAACAAAAACACCAUACAUAUAUAUAUAUUUAUACGUCCCUGUCCAGCAUAUAAACUUGGGAAUUCAGGGCUGUCAUUCUCGUGCCAAAGGUAAUAUAAAAUUAUUGAACAUCAUGCUGCCAAAGAGAGAAUGCAUGCGUCAACAUUCAUUUUGCGAUUUAAUACCAUGGCUAGCUAGGACACGGAGAAGACUGGAACGUGUUUCAAAAGGGAAGGGGGGGGCGGGGGGCAAUGCAGCGGUGAGACCUGGUGGUGGUUGUGCUGUUGCAGAUAGUGAUGAGAGGUGGAUGGAUCUGAUCAUACCGCAGAUGUUUUCGGUUGAACUGGGAAUGUUCACAAAGCCUUAAUAUCCAUCAUUAAAUUGCCAUUACAGGAUUAUUACUUAGCAUGACAAGAUCGAUUAAAUUCAUGUGUAUGGACUCAUUAGG